AUGUUGUUGUGGCGGUCUUGCUCCAAGAUUACCUCUCCUUCCUUGGUGAGGAGAGCUGUUGAUAUCCUUUGCGUCCAAGAAACCAAAUGGAGAGGACAGAAGGCGGAGGAGGUGGAGGAUACCGGCUUUAAGUUGUGGUACACGGGGACGGCUACAAACAGAAAUGGCGUAGGCAUCUUGAUCAACAAGAGCCUCAAGUAUGGAGUGGUAGAUGUCAAGAGACGUGGGGACCGGAUUAUCCUGGUCAAGCUGGUAAGUGAGGACUUGGUUCUCAAUGUUAUCAGCGCGUAUGCCCCGCAAGUAGGCCACAAUGAGAACACCAAGAGGGAGUUCAGGGAAGGCCUGGAAGACAUGGUUAGGAAUGUACCAAUUGGUGAGAAGCUCUUCAUAGGAGGAGACCUCAAUGGCCAUGUGGGUACGUCCAACACAGGUUUUGAAGGGGCGCAUGGGGGCUUUGGCUAUGGCAUCAGGAAUCAAGAAGGAGAAAAUGUCUUAAGCUUUGCUCUAGCCUACAACAUGAUUGUAGCUAACACCCUCUUUAGAAAGAGAGAAUCACAUCUGGUGACUUUUAGUAGUGGCCAACACUCUAGCCAAAUUGAUUUCAUCCUCUCGAGAAGAGAAGAUAGGCGUGCGUGCCUAGACUGUGAGGUGAUACCUGGAGAGUGUUGUACCCCAGCAUAA
rnacentral:rRNA from 1 species